rnacentral:lncRNA from 1 species
GGAUAAUUAUUUUGGAAGAAACACGAUGCAUUUAUUUUGCUGCAGAAACAUGCAUGUGAAAUAUAUGUCUUUCUUGAAUUUUGUGACAUUUAUUUUGGCUGGAAGAAGUGGAAUCCAUGGGAUACAUAUUUUGUUUCUUAUGGAGAAAGCAUUGAUUACUUACCUUGAAUGUUUACCUUUUCUUUUUAUUUUAUUAAAAGCAACGUUGAUUCAAUUGAUGCGCACAUGGUUUAUAGGUUUCCUUAAUCUUUUUCUUUAUUAACACUUUUUCACCAAGAAUGUUUUAUAUUUAAUUUAUUUUAGCUUAAUGUUAAUGCAUUUCUUUUAGUAUUUUUUUUAUAUAAAUGUGCAUUCCAUUUUAUUCCUACUGCAUUGGGCUUCAAGGGGUUACGUUUUGCAAUUCACUAGUGUUAGAUGAGUUUUCAGAUUUCUCUAGUUGCAUUUUAAUUUGUUCACACAUCUUGUUUAGGACUGUUUAAUUUACUGUUUUUGUUUGCUAUGUUGCCUGUCAUGUUUGGUUUAUUGUUUCCGUUUACUUUAAUGUUGUUUGGUCUGUUGGGUCGUGUUAAUUUAAUUGUCAUGUUAGUUUAAAUUAGUCGGGGUUGGUCGUUAAUAAAGUUACUUUGCUUCCCUGAGACUUUUGAACUUUAAUUGUCAUACUACUGCUUUGAUCCUGCUCAAUAUUUAAUCUAUUGUCUGCCUGCGAUUAGGUAUACGCUUAGUUGCCUAAUCGGUGUCAAUUCUUCGCUUAGUUGAUUAGACUGUACGGUGGAUGACUGAUUAAAUUUGUGCAUUGCAUUCGCUUAGUCUGUAAUUUUGAAGACCCAAUUAGCCUUCGCUUAGUUGGGUGAUUCGUGUCGGAUUUGGAUUAGAGUAGUGUCUACUUGUUGUUAAUCUGUGAUUGGAAGCAUAGUGAUUGAGUUAAUAACCGACCGUCUUCAUUCUAUCUUUGAACUAGUUUUUACGUUUGUGUUUGCAUCUCUGUUUGCAUCCGUGUCUUAAUUUAGUUCUUUUGCAUUCACAAAACCUUUCAAACCCCCCCACUUCGUCGAGACCUGAUUCCUGAACCACAGAUUGGUCCUUGAGAGACGACCUAGGAGUCACUUCCUAGUCUAUACUGCAUUUCUAAUAUGCAAUUAAAUUUGUGUGGGCCGCGACAGCCCAUCAAAUUUUGGCGCCGUUGCCGGGGACCAACGGUUCGGUUUUAGGUCUUUUGUUGUGUUAGUGUGUGUUGUCUUGUCUUGUGUUGUGAGUGUGAUGUUCUGUUUUGUGUGUUCGUCAUUUUGUGUUGCAUUUGGGUAGCUGUAGUUGCAUAUUUUCAUUGCAUUCUUCUUUUCCCCCUUCUUUCCCAUGUCUACCUAUUUUGGCUAUGUGAGUAAUUCUCAUUCUGCUU